rnacentral:misc_RNA from 1 species
AAAUGGCGAUCAUCUACACAAUAACAGCCCUUCUUACAUAAUGCCUCUCACUCAGAUAACGAAAACAACUGAACGAUUUCGAAAAUAAAAUCAAACCUGCAAUCAACAACUGAAAAAUCGAUCCACAUCGUUGAAGACUCAAUGCUUAGCAACUAUAUAGUUUCAAGAAGCUUUUUCAUAUCCCUCUCGAUAGUCAGAGGAGACGUGGUUGGAUAAUAACGAUCAACAACUUGACCGUUCUUAUCAACCAAGAACUUAGCGAAAUUCCACUGAAU